CAUGAUUCCUUUGAUCAACUGAAGUGAAUUUCUCAUAAAAUUUGGUUGUAGUAUUUGGUGAAUUUGCCCUGCACUUGAUAUAUUUUUUCAAGAAAUUAAUAUUUCUUCUUACCACAUUACCAUUGACAUUUGCAACUAAAUAUGCCCUCGGACCAUCAUUCAGUUUCUUUAUAAUUGUAGCUUCCUUCCAAAUUCUAGUAAAUGUAUUAAAUAGUAACACAAUUUCCCCAGGAGCAAAAGAAUGCUCAUUUUCUCUGCAAGUUUUAUCAUAGUUUGUUUUCAUCUUCAAUUGAUUAUUUACAAUUUUGUCACCAACCUGUUCCAUCAAAGGAUGACAUGCUGAUGGCAUGUUGGUGAUAGGCAAACGAGAUCUCAGUGACCUACCCUGUAGUAAGUGUGCAGGAGAAACACCCAAAGAAACCACUGGUGUGUUAUUAUAAUUGAGAGUCCCCAGCUCAAGAUUUUUGACACCACAUUUUCGCACUAUGCUUUUAAAGAUGUCUACAGCUUUUUCUGCUAGCCCAUUUGAUUGUGGAUAGAUGGGACUACUAUGCACAACUUGGAACGACCAAUCUUUUGCAAAUUGUUUAAACUCAUAACUGGAAAAUGGCACAUGAUCAGAAACUACAGUGACUGGUAUUCCAAACCUUGAAAAUAUUUUCUUCACUUUAGCAAUGAUUUCUGAUGAAGGCUUACAUUGUAAAGAUUCAAUCUCUAACCACUUGGUAUAGUAACUAACUUGGUGAAGUACUAAAUAUGGUUUCCCCCCAAACUCAGCAAUAUCAAGUCCAACUUUGUGAAAUGGCCUAUCUAUUACCUCAUGACUGAUCAUGGGUAGCUUGAUCAAUGCCCGUGCAUAUGUUUGACAAAUAUGACAUUGGACAAAAUUCUUUAUAUCACUGGACAUACCAGGCCAAUAGUACAGUAAUUUAGCUUUCAUUAUUAAUUUAGCAUAACCCAAGUGUGUUUCAUGUAAUAUGGACAGCUUUUGGGUGAAAUCGUAUCCUUUGCGCAUGACAUUAUAAUGUAUGCUAUAGAAAUAGAGUUCAAUUACAUAGACCUAGGCUUGAGCAUAACAGAAGAUUUUUUAGAUUUAUGUAGGUGGUAAGCUUUACAAUGCCUUGCAACCUGACUUACAGGAGUGUCAAUAUAGCCAAAUAGUAAAGGCCAGAUUAAAAAAAUUCAUUGUUGCGAUUGAUGAUACUCAGUUGUUUUUAUGAAGGUGUUCAUGCUCGAAAGUUGAUAUUUUGUUUUUCAUGUUUGAUUUAGUUUUUGUAUGGUUGGGAAUUUGAAUUAUUUAUGUAAUUAUAUUGUGUCAUAGCACUUAUAUUUUGCAUGGCUUCAUCUGUUGACUGAAGAAUAGAUAAUUAUCAGUUGGAAUGUGCUGCCCGCACGGAGAACUGUUUAAAUUGCAAUAUGAUCUAUUAUUUUAGUUUCAAUUUUUUUUUCUCUUGAUUCUUUUUUGAAAUUUUGUAGUUUCUUAAGAUUUUGUAUACUAUUAAUGUAAGACUCUAUAAUAUUCCUUCUUUCAUUUUUUUCUAUCUUUUGUUUGAUCAUUUUCUAUUGUGAUUAAAUAUACGAAGAAAAGGCCCCACACAGGAUUACCUUUGGGGCUUCAUUUAGACUAUGAUGAUAAACAUGUAUUGUGCAUGCGUGGGUGUUUGAUACACCAGUUAUGUUAUUUUAUUUCAAUUUGUUUGUACAAUGUUUGUUUUUGGUCGAAUAAAUUAUUAUUAUUAUUAAUGUGCUGUCUCAUACCGCAAGGUACUAAUAACCUAUCAUCCACAAAGCAUAACCCAUAUUUGACAGUGAUAUCAUUUUUCAUAUUAAAAUAAUGCCUCAAGUCAUCCAAGUAUAACUUAUCCUUAUUGUCAGGCCAUCCAUUAGAAUAGAAAUCCUUAAUGCAAGACAAACACUCAUCUUUAUCAACAGCUUGUUUAAAUCUCACCAUCUCAUCAGGUGUCAUACUUAAUACAAUUUCAUGAUCAGGACUAACAACUGAAUGGACAAACACUUUCAAACCUACUAGAAUCUUCAAGACUUUCCUCACAUUUCUGGGAAUCCCUAUUUAGGUAAUCAGCUAUAGUAUGCAUGUACUUACCCUGAACAAACUCUAAUUUCAAGUAUAAGGAAAUAACCUUUCUUUUAAUUUCUUCAAUCUAUUAUUAGCUACCUUACACAUAUUUUUUUACAAAUGGAUAAGAGAGGUUUAUGAUCUGUUUAAACUUUAACUAUAGAUCCAUAAAUAUAUUCAUGAAAUUUUGAACAAGCAAACCAGAUAGCUAACAUUUCUAACUCUAUUUGCGCCCAUGACUCUUCAUUGGAGUGCAAACUUCGAGAUGCAUAUGAAAUUAUCUGCCCUUCUUGCAUAAUACAACAACCUAAUCCCGUCCUGGACGCAUCUGUUUGAAUAAUAAAUUCUUUGUUGAAAUCAAAGCUUGCAAGCACAGGGGCCAUUGAAAGACUCUCCUUGGUUUUAUCUACAGCUUUGGAAUGCAACUCAGUCCAUACAAAUAACACAUUAUCUUUUAAUAAUUCUCGUAGAGGAGCAGUUGAAGUAGCCAUAUUGGGCAAAAAUUCUCUCACAUAAUUUACAAGUCCUAAAAACUUUUGAAGUUGUUUCUUGUUACUGGGAUAAGUCAAUGCCUGAAUGGCAAAUACACGUUCUGGAUCAAUAGCCAUACCAUUAACAUCAAAAAUAUGAUCUAGAAACUUGACUGUAUCAACACAGUAUUGAAUUUUUUUCAAAUUGAAUUUAAUAUUAUACUUGCGUGCUCUUUCAUAUACCUCAAUCAAUAUGUUAUUCAUUUCAUCCCUAGUUUGAGCAGCAAUAAGUAUGUCAUCAAAGUACAAUACUACACCAGAAAUAUCCCCAAAAUACUUAUUAACUAAUUUCAUAAAUGCCUCUGGUGCUACUGCCAAACCAAAAAGCAUUCUCUUAAAACUAAGAGUCCGAAUUGGACUUGCAAAUGAGCACAGCUUACUUGAUUCUUUAGUAAGUGGAAUGUGAUAAAAUGCAUCUUUAAUAUCUAAUAAGCUAUACAACCGUUUACCUUUCAACUUGAGGUGUAUUUCACCAAGAGUGGGAAUUGGAAAUUUUUCAAUUAAAGCACUUUUGUUCAAUUCUGUUGGACUUAGACAAACUCUCAGAGAUUUAUCUGGUUUCUCCACAAUAACUACAUCAUUUAACCAUUCAACUGGUUCAUCUGUUUUGCAUAAAAUACCUUCAUCAAUCAAGUUAUUCAAUUUUGUAAUAUAAGCAUCCUUGAGCUUGUGUGGAACUCUAUUAUAUGUGACAGUGUCUGGGGUUACAUUAUUACAUAAUUUAAUACUAUAAGAAUCAUUCACUUUACCCACCACAUCAAAUACAUCACCAUAUUUAUGAAUAAAAUCAUCUUAAGUUUUCAAACUAAUUGUAACCUGGUUUGAAUUCAUUAUAGAAUUCGCAUUUACUUCAACAGCCUCAAGCCGAGCAAUCAAUCCUCACCUAACACAGGUCGACCUACUCAAUAGUGGUUCUAUGGAUUUCAACCCAUCAGAUGGUGUAGUAUCAUCAAUUACAAAAAAAAUCACUGAAAAUGGUGCAACCUUUACACUCAAAUGAUUUGUCAUUUAUUUUGGAUAUGGUAUAAGACACAGAGCUGAAGCCAAGAAAAGAGAGCAGUCUCCACCAGCCUAUAACAUGAGUAAUCCGCCUGCCAGAUUCUCUGUCACUGUUGAUUAAUGCAUUGCAAAUAAAUUUUUUACUGUUUCUCAUCCA